GACGAACGCUGGCGGCGUGCUUAACACAUGCAAGUCGAACGGAAAGGCCCUGCUUUUGUGGGGUGCUCGAGUGGCGAACGGGUGAGUAACACGUGAGUAACCUGCCCUUGACUUUGGGGUAACUUCAGGAAACUGGGGCUAAUACCGGAUAGGAGCUCCUGCUGCAUGGUGGGGGUUGGAAAGUUUCGGCGGUUGGGGAUGGACUCGCGGCUUAUCAGCUUGUUGGUGGGGUAGUGGCUUACCAAGGCUUUGACGGGUAGCCGGCCUGAGAGGGUGACCGGCCACAUUGGGAAUGAGAUACGGCCCAGACUCCUACGGGAGGCAGGAGUGGGGAAUAUUGCACAAUGGGCGGAAGCCUGAUGCAGCAACGCCGCGUGCGGGAUGACGGCCUUCGGGUUGUAAACCGCUUUCGCCUGUGACGAAGCGUGAGUGACGGUAAUGGGUAAAGAAGCACCGGCUAACUACGUG
rnacentral:rRNA from 1 species